AGUCCAAUUUCCACAUUUUGAGAGGGUUCAAUUUCAGUUCUCACUUCGAUCGAUACCUAAGUUAUACUAUUUACGUAAGGUACUGUCUGCUAUUCACGUCAAAACAAAAGGAGCUCCAGAAUGUGUUUCAAGAAGCAUAUCAAUUAUCCUCUUUGGUGGGCCGAGGCGUAAAACCAGUCAGGAUAAUAUUGGGAAGGGAUUCUACGGAUGGACCCCAGAAGCAACUUCUUCCGCUCCACGGUUUGUACUGUAUGUAUCCUAUGGCACUUCCUGGUUCCAUCAUGUCUCUUCAUAGCGUGGAUGAGUAAUCCUACUGGGUCUACCAUCAAUCUCGAUGCGAGGCCCAGAGUCGCUUUCUGGAGAGAUAACCUUGAGCACGUGGAUCACAUGGUGAUGAUAAGGGGUGCAAUUUCCAAAAACAGAUGUAUAACAAAAAGCUCACAGAAAACAGGCCUAUUGUCUUUGUAAUCCCUCCACAUCCCUUCGGACUUGGUGAAAAAGGCGCAAUCCUGUUUGAUUGAUGAUUCUCACCGCUUCGUAAUGAUGAUAUUCUCCACCACUUUGAUCUCGGCAAAUUUGGGCAGGUUGAACACCGUGGAAAAGACGACGACGGGAAUGAUGUACAUCCAGACUCGCUUCCAAGGAUUGGUGCCUUGGAUGGCGUUGUGGUACUCGAUGGGCUUGGUGAUGGCCAAAUACCGCUCCAAGGCCAGCACCACGGUCAUAAAAAUCGACGAGAGGAUGGAGAUGCUCUGGAGUUGAUAGCCGAAAGCGAACAAAUAGCGAUUGAGGAACAUCCACAAACACACACGCAACUAACGUAUGCUAACUCGGCCAUUGGAGGUGUAAACCAUCUAUGGGAUGUUUCAAAAGUUUCCGAAGCUCUUUGACAUAAAUUGGAUUUGUAAGCAUAACCAUUAACGUAAUUGUUGAAUGUUUUGCAUUUCUGUCGUUAAAUCCCUCUUGACAUGGAGUACAUCUGAUUUGAUUCCAUACACUGAUGAACCUGAGACCAUACCAAUUCAAGGUGCUUUUCAAGAGUAUUUGUAGCCAAAUUUGUGA